GGAGCAAGUCCAUCUAUUUCAUCAAAAAAGAUUAUAGAAGGCUGGUUCCUUUGUGCCUCCUCAAAAAGCAAUUUCAAUUGUCUUUCAGCCUCACCUACCCAUUUACUAAGUACAUGCUAAGUACAUCAGCACCCUUACGCAUGUAGAAACUGACCUUCUGACCAGCUUUUGAAGCAGCACAAGCUAAUGCUCUUGCAAUCAAUGUUUUGCCAGUGCCAGGAGG
rnacentral:misc_RNA from 1 species